GCCGGACGUCCUGGGAGAAGCGGGGGGAGGGCCGGGAAGGACCCGGUUGUCCUGGGAAGAGGGAGGGCCGGGGUGGUUGGUGCGCCCUGGGAGGAGCGAGGGGACGCGGAGGCGGGGCUUCCUGGGAGGAGCGAGAGCACGCGGAGGCGGGGCGUCCCGAGAGGGGCGAGCGCCGGGUGGGCCGGGCUUCCUCGUCCCAGGCCAGCCAGAGAGGAGGGCGCGGGCACAGCGCCACCUGUCCCCGGAGGACGAGGUCGGAGUCCUGAUCCCGGCGGGCCCCUGCUGUUCUAGCCUCCCAGGCCCGCACCGAGCGCCAUGGCCCAGCCACCGCCUGAUGUCAGCGAGGACGACUGUCUCCCGGAGUACCGCCACCUCUUCUGUCCGGACUUGCUUCGGGACAAGGUAGCCUUCAUCACAGGCGGUGGCUCUGGAAUUGGGUUCCGGAUUGCUGAGAUUUUCAUGCGGCACGGCUGCCACACAGUCAUCGCCAGCAGAAGUCUUCCCAGAGUGUCGAUGGCUGCCAGAAAGCUGGCUGCUGCCACUGGCCAGAAGUGCCUCCCUUUAUCUCUGGACGUCCGAGCUCCCCUGGCCAUCAUGGCAGCCGUGGAGCAGGCUCUGAAGGAGUUCGGGAAGAUCGACAUUCUCAUUAACUGUGCAGCCGGGAACUUCCUGUGCCCUGCCAGUGCCUUGUCCUCCAACGCCUUCAAGACCGUGAUGGACAUCGACACCUUGGGCACCUUCAACGUGUCUCGCGUACUCUACGAGAAGUUCUUCCAUGGCCAUGGAGGGGUGAUCGUGAACAUCACUGCAACCCUGGGUACCCGCGGGCAGGUGCUCCAAGUGCAUGCAGGCUCUGCCAAGGCGGCCGUGGAUGCGAUGACACGGCACCUGGCUGUGGAGUGGGGCCCCCAGAACAUCCGCGUCAACAGCCUUGCCCCUGGCCCCAUCAGCGGCACAGAGGGCUUCCGGCGGCUGGGUGGCCCACAGGCCAGCAUGAGGGCAAAGUUCCUGGCAAGCCCCCUGCAGAGGCUGGGGAACAAGACGGAGAUCGCCCACAGCGCCCUCUUCCUGGCCAGCCCUUUGGCAUCCUAUGUGACGGGGGCCCUGCUGGUGGUUGAUGGUGGGGCCUGGCUGACAUUCCCUAACGACAUCCAGUCGCUGGCGGACUUCUCAUCCUUCUCUGCUAAGCUCUAGGUGAUGUGCCACUCCCACCUUCAGGGGUCACCUGUGUCCUUGGCCCCCUCCCCAAAAUACCCACCUAGUGGACUGAUGGUCACUGUGCUGGGCCUGAUGCCUUUCUCCUCAGUCUCUUAUGUGUAUUUCUAGAUGUAUUCUCAGGCACUGUUGGGUUCCCCUGCUCCACACGUAGGGCAAGGCUCGAGUCUUCCAGGGCAGAUGGGUGGUGCUGGGAGGGGCCGGCCCCACGGAGCUGCACCGCAGACCUCGGGGCCUCCCUGAAAACCAGAGCCUGUAUGGCUUACCUGAAGAGGCUGGGAACCCUGUCUCUCUUUGGGAGCUCCCCUGGGUGACCCUCUCUGGGGGCCUGAGGGCCUGCUGGGCCCAUGGGGGCGGGGGAAGGUGCCGCUGCUCUCUGCUUCCCCUCCUCCCCCACCAGUCCCAGGGGUAUGGCCAGCCCUUGAGACCUGCUCAUCCUAGUCCUCUGAGCAGCAGCUUCCUUUGAGGAUGGCUGAGGAGAUGUAACCGCCCCGGUUGGGACCUGGCCUCUAAGCCUCCUGGGUCCCCAUCGCAGGGUGGUGGCAGGAACGUUCUAGGACUUUGGCUGGCUCUUGUCCCGUCCUGGGGGCGGGAGUGCUGGAGGGACAUCCAGGAGCUCACAGCGUUCAGUCACACCAUGAAGCUGCAGUUGGCGUGGGCUUCUGUGGAGAACCCCAGUCUCAGAGGCAGGGGACAGUGUGCUGCAGAGGCGCUGGUCCACACCUGCUCUCGGAUCCCUGCGACCUGCCUCCCGCCUGCCCAGCCUGAGCGCCAAACCUGACAAUUCCAAAAAGAGUGUCUGAAGCAGAGACUGGCCUUUCCUCUAGGAACCGUGCUGCAUCCACAUUCCCUCCCCAUGGCCCUGUCUCCCAUGCAUGGGGGGCAGGGACUAGGCAGUGUGGCUGGCCUGCUGACCUGCUCACACACGCCGGGGAGGUCUGGGUUCCAGCGCUUCGAGAGUGUUGAGGCCAGGACGCAGGGGUGUCCCCCUUGCACAACCCAGGGUCAGGGCUGUACCGCCACCCCAGCCCCUGCCUAGGCUGGCCUCCUUUCCCCUCCUGCCUGCAUCCAGUGGGUGUCCUGAGGUGGCUCCCAUGGCCUGGGUAGAGAGAAGGGGGCAUUUCAGGCUAUCUUCUCUUCCUUGCUCUCCCGCUUUGAGACCUUUGCUUGGCAAAGAGAUGCCAAACUAGGGAGGCUGGAGAAGCGUGUUUAAGCCUCUCCACAAGACCUGUGUCCUGGGUCCUAUCCCCGGGGGUGUAGGCUGCAGAAGGGACCUCUGCCGGCCUCCAGUGACAUGGGCAGGGUUGCUCCCCACCUGCCCUGGAGUCUGUCCUUUCCUGGGACAUCCCCAGAGGACUUAGUCCUUGGUCAUUUAAGGGCUCACUUUCUAGGUCCUCCAGGUGGCCUGUCCCCAUUGUCACCAGCACCCUCCCUCAGGCCCAGGGGGUGGGGGAUCUCUGGACCCUCAAUUAUUCCCCAAUGACCACUCUUUGACACACACCCAGGCCAGGACCUAAGGGGGCCACUUGGAUCCUGGGCUUGUUUUCUGUGCUGUUUGUUACAAACUUCAAGGUGCUCAAAGCUGUUGGUCUGCCCUCUGGCUGGACAUGCGGCUUGGGUGCCCCCUUCCUCCCUGCCUCCCACCCUGCCCCCAUCUGUACCGUCCAUUUGCAUAAGCACGGGUCCUAGAGUUUUGCCAGAAAAUGCAUUUACUUAAAAAAUAAUCAUUUUCCUGUGAAAAUAUCUAUUCAUUGGACUUCGCAAAUGUUUUUAGAAGGAGGAGGAGGGCACCUGAACAGAAUCACUGGUGAUCUGGGUAUUUAGUGGUGUGUCUACUUCCUGUCUUUUUUCUGUGAAGAGUUUAGAAAACACUGUUUACCUAAUGCGUGAAGCCCUGGUCCUGAGGCAGGGGGAGCCCACCCUGAGGCGAGGGGAGGCUGUCUGCUCCCCUGGUGGGAGGGGUGUCCUCCACAGCUGGUCCUGGAGGGGGGCGGGGGGCGCUGCCUGCCCUGCAAGCUCCUGGUGCUGCCACUAGAGUCCUGAGCUUGAGCCCUCUGCCCCAGAUAUCCACGCCUACCUGAGUUCCUUCCCGCCUUCAUGGGUGCAGGGGCAUGGCAGGGAGGCCACCGGGCAGAAGGAGCUCCGCUUGCCAUUUAAACAGAGACCAAGGUGUGGUGGCAUCAAGUCUACCAGCAAGGCAGGCAGAUGGGCGCUCGUGAUGCCACGGGAGGAGGAAAGAACCAUGAAGGCAGUUCCUGGGGAGCUGCAACCAUAGACCCCACGUGCCAGAGAGCUGAGGCCUGCCGUCCCUGGAGGAGACAGAGAAGGCCCUGGGGAGGGUGUCCCGCCAGCCACAUUCAAAGGCCUGGGACUCAACAGCAGCGUAGCUCCAGGAGGACAGAAGAGAAUGAAAGGAGUGAGCCUUUUAUUACUGUUAGUCAGGAUUCUCCAGGAAACAGAGCCAGUAGGAUAUAUAUAGAUCUGCAGGAGAUUUAUUAUAGGGACUGGCUCAUGUGACUGUGGGGGCUGAGAAGUCCCAUGAUCUGCCAACUGCAAGCUGGAGACCCGGCAAAGCAGAUGGCGUGAUUCAGUCUGAGCCCGAAGGCCCAAGAACCAGGGGCUCCGACAGCCAAGGGCACCGGAAGGUGGAUGUCCCCGCUCAAGCAGAGAGCGAGGGAACUUGCCCUUUCUCAGCCCACAUUGAUGAAGUCAGGUCUUCCAUCUACUGAAUCAAAUGCUAAUCUCUGAGAAAUACCCAGAGAUACUGAUUUACCAGCUAUCUGGGCACACAUUAGCCCCGUAAAGUUGACACAAAGUUAAACAUCACAGUUGCACACACCAUGAGGUCCGUGCCCUUGCUCAUCGUCUGCAUGUGGUGGUCAGUUUGGCUGUAAGGAAUCUGCCUCGCUGUUUGGCUUAGCCCACCAGCCCCGGCUGUCAUCCUGCAGGUCCAGGACACCUGCUGGGGGCUUGUGGGUCAUGGGCACACCUGGCGCGUGUCACUUGCCAGGUGGGCUCUGGGAAGGGCUGGCAAGGAGGGCCAGGUGCAUGUGGUGAGGGGGUUAACACCGGCCCCAGCAGUGGCACUCGGACUUGGUGGCAGUUGGCAGAGAACUAGGUUGUCCCCUUCCACAUUAACAAUCUCUACAAUUCCCUUAGGAAAUGCCAGGUUCUCUGAAAGGAAGGAUCAUCUUUUAUGUGUGAACCUCAGCUGUGGAAGCUGAUUUACAGACCCUGCCCACUCCGAGUCCCCCUUCCAUGGCAUGAGGAUGCCUCACGUCUUUUCAGAACUACACAUAAAAACAUCACGGGCUGGCUUCUCUGGUGGCACAGUGGUUAAGAAUCCACCUGCCAAUGCAAGGGACAUGGGUUCGAGCCC